AACGAACGCUGGCGGCAUGCCUAACACAUGCAAGUCGAACGAGACCUUCGGGUCUAGUGGCGCACGGGUGCGUAACGCGUGGGAACCUGCCCUUAGGUUCGGAAUAACUCCCCGAAAGGGGUGCUAAUACCGGAUAAUGUCUUCGGACCAAAGAUUUAUCGCCUUUGGAUGGGCCCGCGUUGGAUUAGCUAGUUGGUAGGGUAAAAGCCUACCAAGGCGACGAUCCAUAGCUGGUCUGAGAGGAUGAUCAGCCACACUGGGACUGAGACACGGCCCAGACUCCUACGGGAGGCAGCAGUGGGGAAUAUUGGACAAUGGGCGAAAGCCUGAUCCAGCAAUGCCGCGUGAGUGAUGAAGGCCUUAGGGUUGUAAAGCUCUUUUACCCAGGAUGAUAAUGACAGUACCGGGAGAAUAAGCUCCGGCCAACUCCGUG
rnacentral:rRNA from 1 species